CUUUGUACACACCAGGUGUGGUCUUCAAUCUUAUCAUCUCGUUAUUGUGAAGUCUGUGAUCUGCUCCAGGGAUUAAUUAGAGCUGGGGUCCAUCUUUAGCUGGACUUGCCAAGCCCUCUUCCCUUAUAAUUAAAAGUUCCAGUAGCUGCAAGUAGGCAUCUAGGAGAACAAGUUUUGUACACUUUUCUGAGAUACUCAUGUGAUCUCCAGGCCACUUUGCCAUAUAUGAAGACAUACCUGGCUUGAAAUCAGAGGGUUUGGAAGCUGGAAGGCUGCAAGCAGUGCAUGAUUAAACAAGAAGGAAAGUCACUGUCAGCAGACCAGGCUGCUGAACUCCAGUGCCUGUAAAAACACAGCACGUGUAGGUGCUCCAAGAGUGGAGGUACUCUGAGGAAAGCCCACAAACAUCACAUGGAAGGUCUUCCCUGUCUUUGUUAAAUGUGUGUACCUUCUGAACAUUGUCCAGUGACAGUGAGACAGCAUAAUUUUAGUGAGGUGGCAGUUGCUACAGAAACUGGUCGCUGGAAGAGUCACACA